GCUACUGUUUAAUCAAACCAAAUUGCCCAAGAUUGGAAUUCAGCAAAAUUACCCUUUUCAAUGCCUUGAACGAGUUGAAAGUGCAUUCAGAGAAUUUUUUUGACUGUGGCUGCCAUCCUCCGUUCCCGACAAUCUUGUAGCAGUAUUUUUCAGUAAUGAUGAAAUUAUCAGAUGCUGAAACUUCGAUGGAGAUUUCAUAAAGUUCGAUGGAGAUUUUUCUUUUGAAUUUUUCAACUGGAAUGGAUGGAAUUGGAAAGACUGUCUAUAAGGUUCACAAGCAAUAUCUUUGUUUUGUUUCAUAUAUUGUUGUAUUUGGGAAGUCUAUAAUAUCGCUUUCAAGGACAGAGACAACACAUGUUGUCUUUCUAUGAAGGUCUAGUAUUGUACUGGGCUUUGGAGGCUUUGGAGGCACUGAAGUGAGGUUGCUUGAGCAGGGAGUAAGAGUAUAUAAGCAAAGAGGAAGGUGGGGAAAGUGAAAAAGAAUGUCAAGAAUGGGUGGGGAAGGAAAGUUGAAGCUGAAUAGAUUACUAUAACUUUGACUUGCAUGGUUAGUUUGUGGAUUGUAUUUUCAAAGCAUUAUGAGUGGUUGUGGUUGGCUAUGACAGAGGAGAACAAAAAUGUUAAGUGAAACAUUGCAUAAGUCUAAAUCUGCUUAGUAUCAGGGACGUCUUUUGCCAUCUUAUACUGAGUCUUGCACCAGCACUUCCUUUCUUAUUGCAUUUCACUGUCUGAUGAAUUUGAAAAAAGAGCGCAAAAAAUAAUAUGAGUGCCUUGGCAUUAAUUUAGAAGUCUAUUUAGCAGGAACAAUAAAAAGUCAGAUGUGCAGUGAGAAUGCAGAUUCAAGAAAGCAUUGAGCAUACAAGAGCAUUAUCAAAUGUUGUGAAAGAAUGCAGUGUACAGAGCCAUGAAUCAUGCAACAAUGGGUAUAAUGAAAUACUAUUCAACCAAUUUUGUUAAUAAAAACAUCAAUGUGAAUAACUUUAAAAACUGAAGAAACGAUAACUUUAAAAACUGAAGAAACAACAUCUUUAAAAACUAAUUAAAAUAGAAACUGAAAAAAAAAGCCUGCAGAAUUGACAUAUAAGUUAAAUGAGAUUUAUUUAUGGACACAUGGCAUUCUUUGUGUGUAUAUAGGUUGCAUAGUUGAAUAGAGCUCAUGGUUAUAGAAGAUGGAAAAUUGAAACAAGGGAUGAUCUGGCAUGUGAUCGUUGUAAUGCAAAAUCCCAUGUACCGCUGUUAUGGAAGAUAGAGCAAUUGGAAAAAGAUAACAAGACAAAUUGUGCAUGUAUUAAGGCGCACAAGGCAAUGAGUAGCUCUCGUUUACCAGAAGAAUAAAUCUAAAUAAGGAUUGCAAUGUGAU